rnacentral:lncRNA from 1 species
UCCGAGACACGGGUAUAGCCUGUGACAGUAGAAAAACAAGGAUUCAGCGGGCUGCGCGCGAUGCGCUCCGCCGCUGCUGCCAAAAAAAUAAAAUAGUCAA